UACAUGGGGUGCAAACGUUGCUCGGAAUCAUUGGGCGUAAAGCGCGCGUAGGCGGUUACUUAAGUUGGAUGUGAAAGCCCUCGGCUUAACCGAGGAAGUGCAUCCAAAACUGAGUAGCUAGAGUACGAAAGAGGGUCGCGGAAUUCCCGGUGUAGAGGUGAAAUUCGUGGAUAUCGGGAGGAACACCAGUGGCGAAGGCGGCGACCUGGGCCAAUAUUGACGCUGAGGUGCGAAAGCGUGGGGAGCAAACAGG
rnacentral:rRNA from 1 species